UAACAACUAACCUUCUGUGGAAUGAUCAUAUCAAUGACACAAUUAAAAAGGCUUCGAAACGAUUAUAUUUCCUUAUCCAAUUGAAAAGAGCAAAAUUAUCACCGAAAGAUUUAGUUCUCUUCUAUUAGUUCUAUAUAACGUGUAUUAGAUCUGUUCUAACUUAUGCCAUUCCUGUGUUUUUUUAUGGAUUGCCAAAGUACCUGA